CCUACGGGAGGCAGCAGUGAGGAAUAUUGGUCAAUGGACGAGAGUCUGAACCAGCCAAGCAGCGUGAAGGAUGACUGCCCUAUGGGUUGUAAACUUCUUUUAUAAAGGAAUAAAACGCGGCACGUGUGCCUUUUUGCAUGUACUUUAUGAAUAAGCAUCGGCUAACUCCGUGCCAGCAGCCGCGGUAAUACGGAGGAUCCGAGCGUUAUCCGGAUUUAUUGGGUUUAAAGGGGGCGUAGAUGGGUUGUUAAGUCAGUUGUGAAAGUUGGCGGCUCAACCGUAGAAGGGCAGUUGAUACUGGCAGUCUUGAGUAGAGGAGAGGUAGGCGGAAUUCGUGGUGUAGCGGUGAAAUGCAUAGAUAUCGCGAAGAACCCCGAUUGCGAAGGCAGCUUACUAAAGUGAGACUGACGUUGAUGCACGAAAGUGUGGGUAUCGAACAGGAUUAGAUACCCGGGUAGUC
rnacentral:rRNA from 1 species